UCAAACGCAUACUCUUUUGCCAUGUAGUCAUUUUGCUCUAGAAGCUUGUUCUUUGUGCUUAAGAAAUCAAAACCCAUGAAGCCCAUUUUCUAUUAAUUUCUCCUCUCUCACUCACCCGACUGCCUCCGUUCACCUUCGCCUUCCUCCUCUACCGACGCUAUUGCUCCAUCACCACCGGCAAUCCACACCAUAUUCUCUUCCAUUUUCCGGCGUGAUACUCUAGUUUUCGUGUGGUGUUUCCUUGUUGAAAUUCCUCCCAUAUCCCCUAUGCUAGCUCGAGUCUGUUGCCGCCGCCAACGGUGGCCAUGGCUGCCAUCCUUUCUUCCUCUUAUUACAUCUCCAAUUGGUGAAUUCUACAAAUCCCCUCUAUUAGUUAUAUGAAAUUGAACUGAAUUUAAAAACCCCCAAAUUGAAGAAAACCCUAACUUUCUCUUCUUUGGUUUUCUCUCCCUCCUCUUGUUCGGUGCACUGCUUCCUCCGCUGGAGCCGUGCUGUGGUGGUGAUGAUGUCCACCUUGUACGUUGUGUUUGUUAGUUGUCCUGAUGUUUUUUCUCUUCUUUCUCUUCCCCUGCUCUCCUAUGUCAUCUCUCUCUGACUCUCUGUCGGGCUCGCCCACCACUGCGGCGGUGCGACGUAGCUGCUAUUGCUGCUGCUUCACCUUGUUGUUGUUGAUGUGGAAGCUCAUAUUGCUAAUUCUCUGCCUUCUAUGUUCCUUAAGGAGUUAAGAUGUGUUUUGCAGGUGGCACAGUUCGAGUCUUAAUUCUGGUUGAAGGUGCGUAGAUUCAUUCAAAGGUCUUAUAUGUUUCGAGGCAGGAUUACGAAUUCUCCAAGGUGUAAUUAGGUCAUUCCAGAGUUUAUCGUUGGUUGUAUUAUUUGUUAUAAGAGCUUUUAGUUUAUAAUUUAUGAAUUUUGAUCCCUUGUUUGAGUUUGUAAUUAAGUUAAGUACUGUUUUAAGUUAAGUUCGUUUAAUUAAGGUUUAAGUGAAUUAAGUAAGCAACUCGUUAAGUGCGGGCUAUUACAAUUAUUAUUAUUAUUAUUAUUAUUAUUAUUAUUAUUA